UCCAGAUAGAUCUCGUGGUCUCCGGGCGCCCUAGCACUUUCUUUUGAGGAGGAAGGAGCCAAAUUGAGAAGACACCCCCAGGCUCAUUAAAACUCUCAAAAAACAAAGUUCAGGGCUGAUGCUCAAAGCAACUAAGCGAGCCAAGUAUGACAAGACGCUGCCACCCCACUUAGGGGGCUUCAGGGGCCUGGACCGGGAAGGCCUUGCGGACAAGACAGGCCACCGGGUGAAUUGGCCGCCGCUUCUAAAGCAGAGGUGCCGUCAGGAUGGUUCCCGGGCUCGCAUCCUGUGUGAGCACUCCCGUGCCUCCUCCACAUGUCCCCCUGAUGCCUCACUGAUGACUCAUUAAAGACUCAUCAAUAUCUCAAUGA